CCCUACGGGGGGCAGCAGUGGGGGAUAUUGCACAAUGGGGGAAACCCUGAUGCAGCGACGCCGCGUGGGUGAAGAAGCGCCUCGGCGCGUAAAGCCCUGUCAGCAGGGAAGAAAAUGACGGUACCUGAAGAAGAAGCCCCGGCUAACUACGUGCCAGCAGCCGCGGUAAUACGUAGGGGGCAAGCGUUAUCCGGAUUUACUGGGUGUAAAGGGAGCGUAGACGGCUGCGCAAGUCUGAAGUGAAAGCCCGGGGCUCAACCCCGGGACUGCUUUGGAAACUGUGUAGCUAGAGUGCUGGAGAGGCA
rnacentral:rRNA from 1 species